rnacentral:rRNA from 1 species
UACGUAGGUGGCAAGCGUUGUUCGGAAUUAUUGGGCGUAAAGGGCGCGUAGGCGGUCUUGUAAGUCAGCUGUGAAAGCCCGGGGCUUAACCCCGGGUCUGCAUUCGAUACGGGCAGGCUAGAGUGUGGUAGGGGAGAUCGGAAUUCCUGGUGUAGCGGUGAAAUGCGCAGAUAUCAGGAGGAACACCGGUGGCGAAGGCGGAUCUCUGGGCCAUUACUGACGCUGAGGAGCGAAAGCGUGGGGAGCGAACAGG